ensembl:lncRNA
CGUUGCAUUAUGUCUCAGUAUCCAAUUUCAGGUUUAUAGGAAACAUCUGAGUAUUCUAUCUUCUAAUUGAAUAAUUGUACUUCUGUAAUAUUUCUUCUCAUAGUCUCGGUGUUGGGCCUAGGUAAACACAGUGAUUUUAGCUUCAGUGCUAGUGGAGAGAAAUUAUAUUCCCUCAUGUUUACUCAAUGUUAUUAUUCUCUUUGAGACGGUUCAAUGAGAAGUAGGACUUCCAACAAAAAUUUGUCCCUCCUGCAUCAUGCAAGUGUCUCUUCUUUACCUCAAUUAAUUUUUGAUAUGACAAAGACUCAAAUAAACUGCUGCUGAACUAAAUAGUGUAACAAGUAAAAUGAUAUUUGAUUAACUCCACACUGAAGACUUGUUUAUUAUUUUUUAACGUAUACAGAUCAAGGAAUUCAGAUGUACUUGCACAGAAGUUUCAGCUCAUUCUGCUUUUUCCUUAAACUCACUGAAGGAGAGAUUGUCUCCGGUGACAUCUUCAUGAUUUUAGAAAAGCUGAUGUAGACAGUACUUCUCAUAUUUUUCAUGUAUAACCUCAACUAUUUUGGAGUCAUUGUCAGCAAAAGUAUCUUACAGAAGCAUCAUUUAGGCUGUUCUGUUUUGUCAUGAAAGGAUAAUCAUGGCUUGAGAACAAGAUCCGCUUUCAUCCUUCCUCUAGCUUGUCAGUGCUGCAACUACUUCUUCCUUCAGGCUAAAAUACUGUGAUACAAAAAGGUCUUGAAAUGUAAUGUCAUACUGAAGCUAAAGAAUUAUACCUAUUCAAGAUAGGAUUUCAUAUGGGAUUCAAGCUUUUCAGUACUGAACUUCAAGGAGUGGAGUGUAACAAAGAGAAUCUGCAUCAUCACUCUUUCCCACCUGCCCUUAUGUGACAGCCCUCUUGGAGCCUUUUAUUCUCCAUGCUGAACAGCCAUAGCUCUCUCACCCUGUCCUCGCAGGGCAAGUGUUCCAUCCCUUGGAUCCAUCCCAUGGACCAACAGGUCUAUGCCUCUCCUGUUCCCAGGACUCCACAUCUGGCCGCAAUACUCCAGCCUUCGGACUACUAUCCUUCAUUCAAAGAGAGGAGAGAGAAAGAAAAAAAGGAAGCAACUUUCAGUUCCCGGUAGAGCACCUGGAGGAACUGCUGGAUCCAGAUGUUCUUCGUAAACAUCAAAGGAAACACUAUUUUAUGUGAAAGUGGUAUAAUAAAUGAAAUAAGUGAAAACUAUCUGCAAUUCUAAUACAUGCUGAACAUCUGGACUAUUGCAUUUCCUUCAUAUAUGAAUGAGGUCAGUUGGUAUCACCAUGUGCGGUGUUUGAAAAUUGUGAUGCUACUUGUGUUGCCUGCUCCGUAUCCCAAAAAAUCCCAGAGCUGCAUUUCUAAAGACUAACAGUUUCAUUAAAAGAAGAAAAAUUAAAAAGUUGUACUUACAGCCAGAUGUUCAUUUUACAUAACUUUGAAGAAUUCACCACCACAUGAAAAAUGUCCUUAAAACUCUUCUUCAUUCACCUGGUUUGCAUGUAUUCUGCCUCUACCAGGGAUAAUUUUAUCCAAUGUUGGCUUCCUUUAUAUCUUUUACUUUCCUUGGAUG